rfam:Marchantia polymorpha subsp. polymorpha scaffold2035, whole genome shotgun sequence.
AUGUUCGUUGAGCCGAGAGAAGGUUAGCAACCCCUUGACAAGGACGGGAAUUGGCUUCGGCCAUUCACAAACCAUGAGGUUUUAGUUGGGAUAAAGGAUUAUUACACUUAUGAUAAUCAUAU